rnacentral:rRNA from 1 species
AAAUAGAUUAAAAUAAUUAAGGGCACACAAAGGAUGCCUAGGUAGUAAGAGCCGAUGAAGGACGUGGUAAGCUGCGAUAAGCCUAGAUAAGUUGCAAUCGAACGUAAGAGUCUAGGAUUUCCGAAUGGAGCAAUCUAUUAAGAUGGAGUCUUAAUACGAAAGAGGGAACCACGUGAACUGAAACAUCUAAGUAACGUGAGGAAAAGAAAGUAAAAACGAUACCCAAAGUAGCGGCGAGCGAACUGGGUCAAGCCUAAACCUUAAAUAUGUCAAGGAUACAGCCGUUGUAUUUAAGGGGUUGAGGGACAAAGUAGUGAAGAACUGUAAGAUAUUCAAUAUAGUGUAUUGAUGAAUUAGAAUUGUAUGGAAAGAUAAACCGCAGAAGGUGAGAGUCCUGUAUAAGUAAAUCCUUACACAUAUAACUUUGCUCCCAAGUAACAUGGAACACGAGGAAUUCUGUGUGAAUCAGUGAGGACCAUAUCUCAUAAGGCUAAAUACUCUUACUAACCGAUAGCACAUAGUACCGUGAGGGAAAGGUGAAAAGAACCCAUGGAGGGGAGUGAAAUAGAACCUGAAAUUGUGUGCUUACAAGCGGUCAGAGCCCAUUUGGGUGAUGGCGUGCCUUUUGGAGAAUGAUCCUGCGAGUUACGUUAAACGGCGAGGUUAAGUAUAACGGAGCCGAAGGGAAACCAAGUCUUAAUAGGGCGAUAUAGUCGUUUGGCGUAGACGCGAAACCUGGUGAUCUAAACCUGUCCAGGAUGAAGCUGUGGUAAGACACAGUGGAGGUCCUAACCCACCGCCGUUGAAAAGUUGGGGGAUGAGGUAGGUUUAGGGGUGAAAAGCCAAUCGAACCAGGAGAUAGCUCGUUCUCUCCGAAAUGCAUCCAGGUGCAGCCUUGAGUGUUCAAUUAUGGGGGUAGAGCACUGAAUGAUCUAGAGGGCAUAUUGCUUACUGAAAUCAAUCAAACUCCAAAUACCAUAAUUUAUAGCUCAGGAGUGAGACCACGGGAGUUAACUUCCAUUGUCAAAAGGGAAACAACCCAGACCACCAGCUAAGGUCCCUAAUUAUAACUAAGUGGGAAAGGAGGUGGAGAUUCACAAACAACUAGGAGGUUGGCUUAGAAGCAGCCAUACCUUUAAAGAGUGCGUAAUAGCUCACUAGUCGAGAGUCUCUGCGCCGACAAUGUAACGGGGCUAAGUUAUAAACCGAAGCUGUGGAAUCCUUAUGGAUUGGUAGGAGAGCGUUCUGUAGGCUGUUGAAGAAGAAGGGUAACCAACUUUGGAGGUAUCAGAAGUGAGAAUGCAGGAAUAAGUAGCGAGAAAGGGGGCGAGAAUCCCCCUCGCCGGAAGACCAAGGUUUUCAGGGUAAAGCUUGUCUUCACUGAGUAAGCCGGGACCUAAGCCCAGGCUAUAAUGCGUAGGCGAAUGGAAAACAGAUUAAUAUUUCUGUGCCAGUCAUUUAUUGUGAUGGAGGGACGCAGAAGGGUAUGUGCGCGGACGAUCGGUUGUGUCCGUAGAAGUAUGUAGGGUAACUUAGUAGGUAAAUCCAUUAAGUUAUAUCUGAGGUAUGAUAUACAGUCGUAAGAUGAAUGUACAAAUCCCACGCUGCCAAGAAAAACUUCUAACGUUAAUAUAUGACUGCCCGUACUGUAAACCGACACAGGUGGUCAGGAUGAGAAAUCUAAGGCGGACAGGCUAACUCUCGUUAAGGAACUCUGCAAAAUAACCUCGUAACUUCGGGAGAAGAGGAGCCCUUGUGUGUGAGUAUACACGCGAUACAAAGCGCACGAGGGUCGCAGUGAAGAGGCUCAAGCAACUGUUUAACAAAAACACAGGUCUAUGCUAGCGAUACAAAGCGCACGAGGGUUGCAGUGAAGAGGCUCAAGCAACUGUUUAACAAAAACACAGGUCUAUGCUAAGCUGUAAGGCGAUGUAUAUGGGCUGACACCUGCCCAGUGCUGGAAGGUUAAGAGGAGGAGUGAGAGCUCCGAAUUGAAGCCCCAGUGAACGGCGGCCGUAACUAUAACGGUCCUAAGGUAGCGAAAUUCCUUGUCGGGUAAGUUCCGACCUGCACGAAUGGUGUAAUGAUUUGAGUGCUGUCUUGACGGGAGGCCUGGUGAAAUUGUAUUACCGGUGAAGAUACCGGUUACCUACAGUAGGACGGAAAGACCCCAUGGAGCUUUACUGUAGCUUGGUAUUGGGUUUUGGCAUUGCAUGUAUAGGAUAGUUGGGAGACUAUGAUGGUAUGGCGCUAGCUGUAUCGGAGUCAUCGGUGGAAUACCAACCAUUCAAUGCUGAAAUUCUAAUCUGUGGUUUGUCGCCACGGAGACAGUGCUAGGUGGGCAGUUUUACUGGGGCGGUCGCCUCCGAAAGAGUAACGGAGGCGUUCAAAGGUUCUCUCAGGUUGGAUGGAAAUCAACCAUAGAGUGCAAUGGCAUAAGAGAGCUUGACUGCAAGACUGACGGGUCGAGCAGAUGCGAAAGCAGGACAUAGUGAUCCGGCGAUUCCGAAUGGAAGGGUCGUCGCUCAACGGAUAAAAGCUACCCUGGGGAUAACAGGCUGAUCCUACCCGAGAGUCCAUAUCGACGGUAGGGUUUGGCACCUCGAUGUCGGCUCAUCGCAUCCUGGGGCUGGAGAAGGUCCCAAGGGUUGGGCUGUUCGCCCAUUAAAGCGGUACGUGAGCUGGGUUCAGAACGUCGUGAGACAGUUCGGUCCCUAUCCACUGUAGGCGUUAGAAUAUUGAGAAGACCUGUCCUUAGUACGAGAGGACCGGGAUGGACAAACCUCUGAUGUACCAGUUGUCACGCCAGUGGCACAGCUGGGUAGUCACGUUUGGAAUAGAUAAUCGCUGAAAGCAUCUAAGCGAGAAACUAACUUCAAGAUAAGUAUUCUUUAAGAUACCUUUGAGACUAGGAGGUUGAUAGGUUGGAGGUGUAAGUGCAGCAAUGUAUUUAGCUGACCAAUACUAAUUAUCAAAGUUUUAAUCUAAGAUCUACUAUAUAGUUUC